CACGGUAAUACUGAGCGUACCUUCUUAGAACAGUGCUAGUGGGUCAUGGUAGUUCUUCAUUGAUAUCAAUUAUAGAUGCAUGUACUUUCAUUCUGAUCAUACCACUUUGGGGAAUUUUCCUGUAGUGCUGAAAACAGUAAUUGUUCUCUGUCCCUCUUGCCCACAACAUGUGCUCUUUGCAUAAUGAUAGAAUUGCCAUUACACUACUUACCCCAGUAAUUUGGUCAAAGACAGCUCAACCUAUUUUGUAGGAAACGUAAGUCUGGCUCUCAAGUUUUCGAUGGCACAAGUACACUAAUUUGUAGGCAGCAUAUCUUCACAAAAACAGUUGAGAGCAUCAGCAUUUGGGAAUUCUGUAUUUUUGUGUCUCUAGUGGGUGUGUAGCCUGUGGCCCUUGAGCUCUUUGUCGGGGGGGGGCCGCCUUGGGGGGAGAAAAGGAUGGUGGGAUGAGCUGAAACAGAUGGAGCAAUGGGAGGAGGAAGAAGAAAAUUCUGCAAGCAAUCAGUUCAAACUUCUGGCAAGAGUGACCUAUCCCCCACUCCUCAGAAGCCCAAGCUGUCUCCACACUAUCCUGAGUUCAGGUAAGUGUUUUGGGGGAAAAUGAGCCCCUGGCAAGAAAUUGUUUUUUUAAAGCAGUUAUUCAUACAAGUCAAUCUGAUAAAUCAGGAAUGGCAGCUUUUGCAAAAAUCAAAACAAGAAAAAACACACCUGCCCAGUAAUAGCUCAUAAUGAUUCUGGUGUAGAUCAUUAAUGGCACAAGAGGAGCUGAAGUGAAAAAAGAACAAGUAGAGCAUUAUUCAGUGGAAGGCCCAAAAGUCAUGGUUAUUUAUGCAGGGAUCCUUUUUCUAGUAUUCUAAAAACUGCAAAUAAAACCCAAC
rnacentral:lncRNA from 1 species